AGCGCCGGCUGUGUGAUGGUGAAGUUGGCGCACAAUUUGGCGUAUUUACGUGAAAAUAAUGGUGUUAAAAAUCGAAUGCAGACUGGUAACAAAUUUUUCCGUCCAGAGCCUUGCAAGACAUCUUUUUCCUCUUCGUGUUCUGCCACUGUGCUGCGUAGGAAAGAUAGCGGUCCGGUCGGUGGACUUGUCUGCCUAUUGAAAAUGGGUGAUAACAGACAGGAGCAGACCUACGAUGGCCCCGCUGGAAUGCAACCGGACGGAGUCAUCGAGUCCAACUGGAACGAAACCGUCGACAACUUCGACGAUAUGGGUCUGAAGGAGCAGCUCCUCCGCGGCAUCUACGCCUACGGUUUCGAGAAGCCGUCUGCUAUCCAGCAGCGCGCUAUUAUGCCGUGCAUCAAGGGUCACGACGUUAUUGCCCAGGCCCAGUCUGGAACUGGUAAAACUGCUACGUUUUCCAUUGCGAUCUUGCAGCAGAUCGACACCAGCAUCCCAGAAUGCCAAGCGCUGAUUCUGGCCCCAACCCGCGAGUUGGCCACCCAGAUCCAGAAGGUAGUGAUCGCCCUCGGCGAUUAUCUGAACGCCCAAUGCCAUGCCUGCAUUGGCGGUACGAAUGUCCGCGACGACAUGCGUAAGCUGGAGAUGGGCUGCCACAUAGUGGUCGGAACCCCGGGUCGUGUGCAUGAUAUGAUCAGCCGUCACGUCCUGCGCACAAACCACAUCAAGCUGUUCGUUCUGGACGAAGCUGAUGAGAUGUUGUCCCGUGGUUUCAAGGACCAGAUUCAGGACGUUUUCCGUAUGUUGCCUACUGAUGUACAGGUUAUUCUUCUGUCCGCUACCAUGCCCACUGAGGUGCUGGAAGUAUCCACCCACUUCAUGCGCGACCCGAUCAAGAUUCUGGUCAAGAAAGAGGAAUUAACACUGGAAGGUAUUAAACAGUUCUACAUCGACGUGAAACAGGAAUCAUGGAAAACGGGAACACUCUGCGAUCUGUAUGAUACACUAUCGAUCACUCAGGCUGUCAUCUUCUGCAACACCCGUCGCAAGGUCGACCAGCUGACCACGGACAUGGCCUCCCAAAGUUUUACCGUUUCUUCCAUGCACGGUGAUAUGGACCAGCGUGACCGUGACUUGAUUAUGAAGCAGUUCCGUACCGGAUCUUCCCGUGUUCUCAUCACCACGGAUCUUCUUGCGCGCGGUAUCGACGUGCAGCAGGUUUCCCUAGUAAUUAAUUAUGAUCUACCAACGUUACGAGAAAACUACAUUCACAGAAUCGGUCGAGGUGGACGUUUCGGUCGUAAGGGAGUUGCUAUUAACUUCGUUACUGACGCUGACAAGAGAGUGCUGACAGAUAUCGAGAAACAUUACAAUACCACUAUUGAGGAAAUGCCAGCAAAUCUGGCUGAUAUGCUGUAAAUCCUACCUGCCCUACAACAAAGAAGAAAAAGCAGCAACAACAACAACAGCGUAAACCAAUAAAAGUUCAGCAUCAACUACAGUAACAUCUAAGACCGAACAACUGUACGACCGGGAAACCAAACUCCGCGACGACGUCCAACAAGGUAACCUGCAGAACAUCUCCUUACUCUUUACCCAAACAACAUCUGACGACCGUCGUUCAAGAUACUCUAGAUCCGAAGAUACCGAAGGCUUCUUUCAAAUUCAGGUGUAUGAGAAAUUCCAAGUUCAGUCGAGCUCUUUGGACGUAUUUUGCUUGAAAGAUCUUGUAUGUGUAUCGAGAACUAACCCGUACCACAAUCACAACCAGCAGAUUAAAUAAACACCUUUCAGAAGGCAACAAAACAAAACAGUCGCAAAAUACUACUAAAAUUACCAAAUCAAAUCUUAAUCACAAUCCUUGGAGAAGAAUUCUUAACUCUUGCUACUUAUUUACGUUUCUAACCCCUUAACUCCUCCUCUUUCAAUCUAUUACGAAUGUAGAAUCGUUUCAGUACUAGUUAGUGUCAGAUAACAGUCAGUUACAAUUACCCUUAACAUCGGCGGCCGAGAUCGCUGUUUCGGGGCCUCACCUCGCACAGGAAUAGCUUUCUGUUUUGUGAGGUGAGGGCCCGAAACAGUGUGACAAGUUAGCGUGAGACACGAAUUAGGUAAGCCACUGCUUGAGAAAAUAGGAAAAAAAGGGAAAUCUAGCGUUAGGUAACCAAUUAAAAUCACUUCCAACCGCACGCGAAAAUAGGAAAAGAGCAAGCGAGCACAAAUAACUGUUCUGUUACUUCUAAUAUAAUGGUGGUGGACUUGAAGAAUUGGAUGAAGAAUUGCAAGAUCGUGAACUUGACUCCUUGCUUUCUAGAGGUUUAAAUUUUUUUCGGUUGUAAAUUUUUGUUUUAUAUAAUAAAAAGGAACAUGUGAAUCAACAACAGCUUGUAAUAAAAUAAUAGUAGGUAUAUCCCA